rnacentral:rRNA from 1 species
AUGCUCCUUGGCUCUUCACAUCCAUCCCGCUCCUUGGCAGCUCCGCUGGUCGCCGGGCUUCUGGUGAAGAUCUUCAUGUGGGUCCUGGAGAUGCCGGUGGUGGGCUGGGUCCUGCUCUACAUCCUAAAGAAGGACAAUCUCAUCAACAAGCUUGUCUCCGAAGCUGAGAUCCCCGAGCCGCCACUGUUUACCUCGACCCACCGCUGGGAAGACACCCCGGAGCAGAACGUCAGCCUGACGAAGCCCGGCCUGUCGACGGCCGAGCGUGUCCGGGAGGCCAUCGACUGCCUCCCCGCGCGCCAAAUCAGAUUCAAUAAUUUGGUUGAAAAGGGACGGCAUGCUGAGGUGUACAAAGGACAGCUUGCUGAUGGACAGUUUGUGGCAGUGAAGGGGUUAACAAAAAUACUUAACCAAGCAUGCUGA